GAUGAACGCUGGCGGCGUGCCUAAUACAUGCAAGUCGAGCGAACGGACGAGAAGCUUGCUUUUCUGAUGUUAGCGGCGGACGGGUGAGUAACACGUGGAUAACCUACCUAUAAGACUGGGAUAACUUCGGGAAACCGGAGCUAAUACCGGAUAAUAUUUUGAACCGCAUGGUUCAAAAGUGAAAGACGGUCUUGCUGUCACUUAUCGAUGGAUCCGCGCUGCAUUAGCUAGUUGGUAAGGUAACGGCUUACCAAGGCAACGAUGCAUAGCCGACCUGAGAGGGUGAUCGGCCACACUGGAACGGAGACACGGUCCAGACUCCUACGGGAGGCAGCAGUAGGGAAUCUUCCGCAAUGGGCGAAAGCCUGACGGAGCAACGCCGCGUGAGUGAUGAAGGUCUUCGGAUCGUAAAACUCUGUUAUUAGGGAAGAACAUAUGUGUAAGUAACUGUGCACAUCUUGACGGUACCUAAUCAGAAAGCCACGGCUAACUACGUG
rnacentral:rRNA from 1 species